CAGGGGAUAAUGAAAUCUCGUGUAUGUUGUAUAUAUCUUUUAAUCAAUAUGUAAGCAUUAGUGAUAAAUUAGCUUUGGAAAAACAUCAUGUACAUUAAUGAUGAGCCUACUAUAUUAAGGCUCGUGUAUAUUAUUUCCAAUAUUCACAUUUUUCAGGAUUAUGUUUGGUACUUCAAUACAUCCGGGACAUUUCAUGGGCAGUGAGGCAAUCAGUGGUAGAAGAACUAACAGUUAGAAAUGAUAUGAAAUAAUAGCGGAUUAUGUUUGGUACUUCAAUACAUCCGGGACAUUUCAUGGGCAGUGAGACAAUCAGUGGUAGAAGAACUAACAGUUAGAAAUGAUAUGAAAUAAUAGCGGUAAGGUCAUACAAAUGUGCAAGUUUAAUAAUCGUAAGACAAUUGGAAUUACACUGUAUGUUGAUUUAAAGAGAGAGAAAUUGUGUUCACUUUUUGAAUCGGUAUUAACAAUGUGCAAUUGCGGCAUAUUUAUGUGUUGAUAAAUACACGGUCUAUAAUGAAAGCCUUUUCACUUAAUAGAUAACGUGCAAUAGAUAGUGACAUAGUU